CUUCUCAUCUUUUUCUUCUUCUCGUGUCAUCUUCUUCUUCUCGUGUCAUCUUCUUCGUGCUUCUUCUCAUCUUCUUCGUGCUUCUUAUCAUCUUCUUCAUUUUAAAAAAUUAGGGUUUUUUCUUAAUAACCCAAAAAAAACACAUGCACCACACUUCAAAAUUAUGACGAUUCCGCUUUUAAACCCGGAGCCGCUCCGCCCAGGAAAAUCCCGCGAUCCGCGACCCGGGAAAGCUAUGUAGCGUCUGCUACACCAUCUCCGCCACCGCACCCUGCAUCUCGUGCGGGUGGGAGGUGCGCCGCUAUAGCGGCUGUCGCGGUCGGGAAUGAUAACUUUGUACAAUAGGUACUUGUUCACGAUCAUCAUCCCUCAGAUCUCGUGUCUCUGUCUAAACCACCCUUAUGAUCAUCAUCCCUCUGAUUUGUACUUGUUCCAAGAGCAUUUAACUUACCACCCUCUGAUUUGUACUUGACACCCCAUCAAACGGCAUGAAAAGACCAUAAUGACCUUACACACAGUUUUCACCAUUUUGCCAAAUUUACUGAAACGAAGUGAAAAUUUCAAAACUCCAGGGCGAUAUCAGAAAUUUUACCUUGAUACCAAAAGUUCUUUAGAAAAAUUAAGUAAAAUACCGAAAAAGUGGGAAUAUUCGGGAGAAAAUCACGAAAAUUUCAGAAUUUCAGGGAGAAAUUCACGAAAUUUUCAUAAACUCUGGAAUUUCUUACUAGAAAUUUCAAUAAUUAUGGUAUUUUGGGAGGUUAUGUUGUCGGAAAUUCUGAAAUUUCUGAGGACCAAAGGGGAGAGCAACACCAUUGCCGACAGGAUGACUGAUAGAGCGGAAACGAGUUAGAUGACAUGCUCUGACCGGUUCUCACCAGAAACAGAUGGUUGAGCAGGCGUAUGGCCAAUUCCGUGCACCCUGAUGCUGAGCUGCUAGAGUCUUUACUGAUGUGAAGGUACCUGCUAUUGUGGAGGUGCUUGCAGUUGUGAAGGUACCUGUACCUAUUGCUGAUGAGUACCCCUUGAAGAGGUUGCUGUUGAGGAGGUUCAUGUGUUAGCUGAGCAAGUUCCUGAUGCUGAUGAGGUGUUUCUCAUUCCUCUCACACCUCUUGUUGCCGGUGAUGAUACUCCUACUAAUACAAACGUCAUUGCUCAUGCUUCUACAAAUCCAUAUGUUUACACAAAAAAUCAGUGUUUUACGACACAAAAAUUGCGACAGUUACUUGAUAAUUGUCGUAAUUUGCAUAUAGAGACAAUGGUUACGACGGUUGACACCAACCGUCCCUAAAAUUUAUGUCACGACGGUAAAACUAACUGCCCUAAUGUUGUUAUUACGACGGUAAAACAACCGUCGCCCCUUAACCAUUCAUCCUACACGUUUCUCACCAAAAUUUCAUUUCACGACAGUAAAGUUAACCGUCUUAAAACUCCUUUCACAACAAUUAAAACACCCGUCGCACCCCUUAACCUUUAAUCAUAAACUAUUAGACUUCAGCUUAUCAAUUUACCUUCCCUCUUUCUUAAUUUCAGAAGGCCGCGCUCCUUCUUUCCCCCAAAAUCAAAACCCUUAUCACUUUUCUCAUUUUUUAAUCGCAAAACAAAUCCCAAUUUUCUACUAAAUAAGAAAUUUCGUCUUCUUUCCACCAAAUUUCUCUAACAUAUCCCAAUAUUUUGAAACCCUAGUUCUCCCUAAAAAAUUUGAAGGGUCUUAAUAGAGUACAAUGUUAAAAGUUGUUGUUCAUAGAGAACAAAUUGCAGGUUAUUCACAUAGCACAAAUUUGGAGGGUGUUUUUCACAUAGCACAAAUUUGUACACGAAAAUGCAUUUGAAGGUUGUAAACCCUAAGUUCCUUUAUAUCAUAGUUCUUCAUUGUUUAUCAAUUCCUUUAAAAACCCUAAGUUCCUUUUAUAUGAACCAUUUGUUUUUUGCAGGAACGAUAAUAAUUGUUUACAAAAAUAUGAUGAAGAGGUACGUCUGCUCACCCUCUCUAUUCUACUUUCUACAACAUACUUUCAUUCAUAUUUGCCACCUCUAUAAUCUAUUGUUGUCCUUUUUUGUAGUGAUAUUUGUUUUGACGGUGUGAGCUAACAUCUCAUAGUUUUGUAGAUAUGGACUUUAUAUACGGGUGUUCUUUUUUUAGUGUUGUUCGAUCUCUUUUUCUUUUUCAGUAUUGUUGCUUGCCUUUCAAAAUCUGUUUUUAAUAUCGUCAUCCAAACACAAGUUCUGUUUACUCUCUAGUCAUUUGGAAUCCCAUUUUUUAGGGAUGUGAUAGGUGCCAUCUAUAACGCCCAAAGUUCUUAAAAAAUGGAGAAGUAUCUUGUCCGACAUGAUAUCAUUAAAUAAGGUUAUGUAGUUAAGAUUUUCCCAUAUUCUGCUCGGCCAAAACUGGAUUUGUUGUUAUUAAUAUUCAAGAUCAGAUUGUGUGCAAUAAUGUAAAACAUUAUUUCUUCUUAUUGGUUUGAGAUGCGAUUUUUUGAAAGUAUCUAUUUAUCUGUUUUAGAUUUUUUGCAGAAUCAUAUACUAUUUGUGACUGUAUGUAUAGUCUAGACUCUUUAGACUUUUGGGCUUGAUCUUGUUGGCAUUAUUAACUUGAUAUUUCUGUGAAUACUGAGUUAGUCAUAAAAUAUGGUGUCUCUACUAGAUAAAAUAUUACCUCCUUAUAGUUAAUAUCUUACCUUCCAUAGAUUUCAAGAAGGAGCUGAGGUCACUUAAUGGAGAAUUGCAACUACACAUUUUGGAGCUUGCUGAUAUUCUUAUUGAGAGACCAUCACAAUAUCCAAGGAGAGUUGAAGAAAUUUCAAUCGUGUUCAAAAUUUUACGCCACCUUUUCAAUUCCCUGCGUCCUCAUCAAGUAAACAAUAUUCUAGACAGCUAUAAUUAUAUUACUUGCCUUUGAAUGGGAUGCUUCUGGUCUUUUUCCUUUUUCUGAAAUUUUCAUGAUAUCGUCUAUUUAUUUUAUAGGCUAGAGUAACUUUGAUUCAUAUUUUGGAAUUUCAGAUAGAGCGCCGUAAACAAGUUGUGGAGGACAUAAAAAGGUAUGUACAUUUCCUGAUAUUUUUCUUAAUGUCCUUGUCUAUGAUUUUAUAACCUUUUGCAAUUUUUGUUGGUAUGCUUGCUUGCAACCUUCGUAGAUUUCUAAAUUCACGAGUCAGUUCAUUCUUUCUGGUUGUACCCACUACUACAAUAUCCACACAAGGCCAGUGUAGGGUUCUAUGACUGAGCAAAGCCAAAAAGGAAGUGUAUUGGUCCCUGUUAGUUUAUUGAUUAAAAACAAUGAAAGAUUCAAAAGAGUCAAUAAUCAAUUCACAAAGGAUAAACUAGUAAAUAGUUCUAAGAAUGAAAAAGAUACCUAUCUGAUUUAGGAAAAUCAUAUUUAUAGAUCCCCUAAAACAAAAGUACCAGAGAAGAUUCCAUAUGCAAAACCUUAUGAAUUUAAAACAGAGUCCUCCCUCCUAAGUUCAUCCAUGUCUGUUGGCUUACCACAGUUUUAUUUUAUUGAAAUUUUGUAUUAUACUAUUUCCUCUAGAAUAUAGAAUUUUAUGCUCAAAUAAAAUUUAAUAAUGCAUAUUGUUUACAGUUACCCAAUCACACUAUCUUUUUCAUUUUUCAGCAACAUACACUUUUCCAUUUUCCAUUUUUAAUAAUGUAGUUCAAGUGGAUAUUUUAGUUUGUUUCAAGUGUUAGUACAUGAGUUGUUUUUGUAUUGCGGAAUUGUUCGAGCCGAGGUAUCAGAGCGACUACAACAUGCCUUUUUAUGCUACAUAACCCUGCAACUUUGUUAGAUUAUUUUCGGAUCCGUCAUCAAGUGUCUCUAAUGGUAAUUUAAGAUCUCAGAAUUGUAUCUACAACACUGCAUUUUAGUUAACUUAAUGACACAUGGUCAAUGGAGUUUACUUUAUCUUACAUAUACUAAUGCAUGCUAUCCAUAAGUUAAUGUUUAAUUUUCUUGACAUAAUUAUGAUGCUGCCACACACUUUGAGUCAACUGUAGUGGAUGUCUACAACAUGUAGACAUUGAAAACCAUAAAGGUAACUUUUCUAUCUUGGUGACUAGCUGUUUGCUAUGCUUGAUUUUACCUAGCAGUGAUCUAAAUGAUGACUUAUAUUUUUUUAGUAUAUACUUCAAAUGAUAUGACUAUAACAUGUGUAAUCUAUUAUACCAUAUAUUUGAUUUCUUCUAUAGAGUUAACUUCAAGUUGCAUUGAAUUUUAGAUUUCUUCCUCAUCUUUCUAUUUUCACUACAGUUUGUAUAUAGCUGAAAUUUUGAUUUUUCACAUACUUACAAUUUCAUUUUUAGGAAUAAAAUCAUUGUUUAUGUUAAUCAAUCAUUUUCUAAUAAUGCUUUCAUUAAAAUGUAUAUUACACAAAAAUUAAUAAUUUACUUGUGAGGUUAGAGGAUGGAAUCAAACUAAAAACUAGUUGAUAUUGUGUUAAUUGCAUAAAUACUCCGAAUGAGAUUAACAGAAAACCCAUGGAUGUAAUAGAAAAUUGGUCUAGCGCUGCGGUUUGUUAUGGAAAUUUGUAGAACAUUAUUCUUCUUCUCUUAUAGUUUUGUGGUUAAUUUUGUCAUUUUCUGAUUUUAAAAUUUGUGAUAUUGUGAAUUCGAAGAGGUUCUCGGCCUCACUGUAGACCCUAGUGUCAUCGGUGGUGCUACAGAAGAUUAUGCGGAUGCAGGAGGCUAAAUGCAGUAUGCGAUAAUACGAAAUGAUUCAAGACUGAAGUUAGUGCAACAUCAACAUGAAAACAAGUCACCAAAUACACUGAGAAAGAGAAAAGUAUAUUGUGUGCGGGACCUGGAUAUAGAAGUUCACACGAUACGAUACCGUAUUUGUUACAAUUUUUUGUCAAAUCAUUUGUAGUGGAUCAUAGUUAUAUAGUUUUUAAUAGAGUAAUAUAUAAAAUUAAUGGUUGUUGGUAUUUUUAUAACAACUCAAUGUGUUGCUAAUUAUUUCAGUCGGAAUGCUUUUGUGGCAUAACGUGUUUUUAUUUUUUUAUUUCAUUUAUAUAUUAUUUUUUAAAAAAAUUCAUUUAUUUAGCGGGGGUUAUAAACCUCCACAGUUAUUACUGAAUUGGAAACACAAAACAAAGUUCACGACGGUAUUCAACCGUCGCCACUUCCAGUUAAGGUCAGUUCCAACCUGUCGUGAACUAGCGCGACGGUUGGUGUGACGGUUUUGGAAACCGUCGCGAAACAGGUUGGGGACACACGAUUCUGCGACGGUAGUGUAACCGUCGUAGAUUGUAAUUUGUGGCGGUUUUAACCGUCGCAAUCUGCAAAAUUAACCGUCGCAACUAACAAAUUUUCUCGUAGUGGAAGCCUUUCCAAGAGGACCUAUUGAUCGAUCUGUGCUCACAGGGUAUGCUGACCAAGUCGCAUAAAGAGUAUGGUGAAAAGGUAGCAUCUCACGGUUCGAAGUUGAAGAACUUCCCACUGAGUCUGAUGCUUGAGCAGGUAAUAGAGGAUCUGCAAGUCGCUGAGGAGGCCGUGCUAGAAGAGUUUGUUUUUAACAGGGGACUUCAUAUUCGGAUUUCUUGGCUGCGGGACAGGUACCAAGAGCUUGUGGAGGUAGGGAAGUAUAAGGGUGCCGCUAGGGCGUACAUGCUACAUCUAAUGGCAUGCACUCUCUUUACGGAUAUGUCAAACAUUUAUAUUGAUGUUAGAUACUUGUGGUUGUUUAGUAGCCUAGAAGCUCCAUGAUGGGCUUGGAGAGUAGCUGCGUUGGCCAUGCUUUAUACGAAACUUUGAGUUGUGAUUGUACCUAAGACC